rnacentral:rRNA from 1 species
GACGAACGCUGGCGGCGUGCUUAACACAUGCAAGUCGAACGGGUCUGCCCUGUUUUUUGCGGGGUGGGUCAGUGGCGAACGGGUGAGUAACACGUGAGUAACCUGCCCCUCACUUCUGGAUAACCGCUUGAAAGGGUGGCUAAUACGGGGUGUUCUGGCUGUGCCGCAUGGUGUGGCUGGGAAAGAUUCACUUUUGUGGUGUUUUGGUGGGGGAUGGGCUCGCGGCCUAUCAGCUUGUUGGUGGGGUGAUGGCCUGCCAAGGCUUUGACGGGUAGCCGGCCUGGGAGGGUGGGCGGUCACACUGGGACGGAGAUACGGCCCAGACUCCGGCGGGAGGCAGCAGUGGGGGGUAUUGAACAAUGGGCGGAAGCCUGAUGCAGCGACGUCGCGUGAGGGAUGGAGGCCUUCGGGUUGUGAACCUCUUUCGCCGGUGAAGAAGGUCCUGCUCUUUGUGGUGGGGUUGACGGUAGCCGGGUUAUGAAGCGCCGGCUAACUACGUG